CCCUUAGAUGUCCUGGGCCGCACGCGCGUUACACUGAUGCAUUCAACGAGCUUAUAACCUUGGCCGAGAGGCCUGGGCAAUCUUGUUAACGUGCAUCGUGAUAGGGAUAGACUAUUGCAAUUAUUGGUCUUCAACGAGGAAUUCCUAGUAGACGUAGUUCAUCAGACUGCAUCGAUUACAUCCCUGCCCUUUGUACACACCGCCCGUCGCUCCUACCGAUUGAAUGCUCAGGUGAGCCAUUCGGACUUUCAUCAUGUUGGUUUCCAGUUUUGAUGAAGGAAAGUCUUGCGAACCUUAUCAUUUAGAGGAAGGAGAAGUCGUAACA
rnacentral:rRNA from 1 species